rnacentral:rRNA from 1 species
CUGGUGUUCGGGUUGUCAUGCCAAUGGCACUGCCCGGUAGCUAAAUGCGGAAGAGAUAAGUGCUGAAAGCAUCUAAGCACGAAACUUGCCCCGAGAUGAGUUCUCCCUGACCCUUUAAGGGUCCUGAAGGAACGUUGAAGACGACGACGUUGAUAGGUCGGGUGUGUAAGCGCAGCGAUGCGUUGAGCUAACCGAUACUAAUGAACCGUGAGGCUUAACCUU